AGCUGCGAUAAAUAGUGCGAAUUGCAGACGCAUUGAGCACAAAAAUUUCGAAUGCACAUUGCACCAUUGGGUUGAUUCCCGAUGGUACGUCUGGUUGAGGGU
rnacentral:rRNA from 1 species